rnacentral:lncRNA from 1 species
UGUGGUUUGUAUUUAAGUUUGUUUAAGCUUGAUUAGUAUAUAUAAAGCUUGUACGAUGUGUAUUUCAAUUUUAUCAGACUCUAUAUAAAUAUGUUUUUAUAAAUAAAGCUCAUUUUCUCUUUAUAUUACUAUUUUUAAUUACAUUUUAAGUUUGUUUAUAUUACUAUUCAUUACUGUUCAUUAUACUGUAGCUAAUUACUAUAGCAUAUAUGCACUGUACAGUACUAUAGUAGAAAUACUCUGCAGUACUUUGCACACUAUAGUAUGUUAGUGUAGCAUAAUGGUAAACAAUCAGAAUGCUACUG